rnacentral:rRNA from 1 species
AAAUUGAAGAGUUUGAUCAUGGCUCAGAUUGAACGCUGGCGGCAGGCCUAACACAUGCAAGUCGAGCGGUAGCACAGAGAGCUUGCUCUCGGGUGACGAGCGGCGGACGGGUGAGUAAUGUCUGGGAAACUGCCUGAUGGAGGGGGAUAACUACUGGAAACGGUAGCUAAUACCGCAUAACGUCGUAAGACCAAAGUGGGGGACCUUCGGGCCUCAUGCCAUCAGAUGUGCCCAGAUGGGAUUAGCUAGUAGGUGGGGUAACGGCUCACCUAGGCGACGAUCCCUAGCUG